AACCCGCCCAGACUGUCGGACAGAUAUUCACUCGAGAAAGAGACAAGAACAUACACUUUUGUGUAAACGUACAAACAAAGACUAACCAUUUUUCUCUUUAAGUGGGGCUGUAGUCGUUGUCCCCUGUCAUUGAAACAGCGGCUCAUGAGUAACUCUUCCCUUCCUUGACUUUGGACACUGCUUUCUUCUGUUUCUCUGAGGAUGGAUUUAGCAGGGAUGCUUGCUUCUUGCAUUUGGCAUGAUUCAACCUUCAUAUAUGAGUGAAUUCUCAAUCCUUAACAUGUGUGGAGUAAGGGAAUGAAGUCAUUGGUCCGUUUAUUGUAGUUAUCUGAUAUUAUAAGAAUUCUUGAUUAAUUUGGGAAUUUACCUGUUGUGCUGAAAAUUCUUAAUUGUUGCAUUCUGUAAUUUUCGCGACUGUAUCUAACACAGCUUGCAAUGGUCUGUCUCAAAGAAAUACUACCAUUUAUAAUUUAAGUUUUCCAUGUAGAGUUCUACCACUCUAAUAUUGAACCA